GCACGCGUUGGGCACGAAUGGAUUGUUGCCUUGCUCCGAGUACUGCUGGUUGAUCUGCUUCGAAUCAGGCGGUGAAUUCGAGCCUGAGACAGCCCACUGACGAGAGGAAUCGGCAUUCAAAAUGAUGGUCCAAGCAUUCCGUCUCUAAGUUCUGAGGCACUGGUUUGAUUGCAGCGCUUGUUUAUCCAAGUACGUUCCUGUUCCUAUGCUCUGCGUUUGAGUGAUUAUGGCGUGCGUGUGAGUGACGGUGAUCCGGUAGGGAAUGGAGAGGCCGGUAAUGAAAUUGAAUUGGUUCCGUGGAGAACCGAGACUGUGAUGGAGAUCCGGAGAUGGUUGCCGGCAUUGACAGCAGACGUUGAGGGAAGGAGGUUUCCGGGAAGGAAGAUGGCAUCUCUAGAUCUCAAGGUUUCGUUGGCAAUAUAGUUUUGUCGUAUUUAUUGAUGACGCUUCAUUCAGCUUUUUGAGUAAGGGGAAGAAAUCAUCGACUCUGUAAAAUCUGACAGCAUAUGAGUGGUUUCGAAUAUUGGAAGAGUUCGAUUUGAUGCUCCUUCCUCCAA